AUGCUCACUUCGGCAGCACAUAUAAUGAAAUUGGGAUGAUGCAGAGAAGAUUAGCACGGCCCUUGUGCAAGGAUGACACCCAAAUUCAUGAAAUGUUCCAUAUUUUU
ensembl:snRNA U6 U6 spliceosomal RNA